AUUGAACGCUGGCGGCAUGCUUUACACAUGCAAGUCGAACGGUAACAGGCCGCAAGGUGCUGACGAGUGGCGAACGGGUGAGUAAUGCAUCGGAACGUGCCCAGUCGUGGGGGAUAACUACUCGAAAGAGUAGCUAAUACCGCAUACGAUCUAUGGAUGAAAGCGGGGGACCGUAAGGCCUCGCGCGAUUGGAGCGGCCGAUGUCAGAUUAGGUAGUUGGUGGGGUAAAGGCUCACCAAGCCAACGAUCUGUAGCUGGUCUGAGAGGGCGACCAGCCACACUGGGACUGAGACACGGCCCAGACUCCUACGGGAGGCAGAAGUGGGGAAUUUUGGACAAUGGGCGCAAGCCUGAUCCAGCAAUGCCGCGUGCAGGAAGAAGGCCUUCGGGUUGUAAACUGCUUUUGUACGGAACGAAACGGCUCUGGUUAAUACCCGGGGCUAAUGACGGUACCGUAAGAAUAAGCACCGGCUAACUACGUG
rnacentral:rRNA from 1 species